ACAGCCCAGGGGACAGGUGUUACUAGGAUUAUGGAAGGAGGGGACGGGGUAGAAUCCCUUAGUUCCUACAAGGGCUGCUUAGGGCCAUUUCUCUCCGAGAGGGUGGGCAGAUCACACAGGGUCACGUGCACACUCUGGGGCUUUGUGAAAAACAAAGUAAUCCCAAUUACCUGACCCUUAAACAGGUGAAAUCUAUCUUUUACUCAGGACAUACUUAAUUGGUGAUAGGCUGCUUAUUGGCCUCUUCGCACGUGCACGGACUUGUGAAUCAGAUUCACCUUACGACAUCCAGGCUCUGAGAACCCGGAUGCAGGAAACAGGUUUCAGUCGCUGACGAAGGAGGCGAAGGAUGCGCACCGGGGCGCACGGGGCUGGAGGCGGGGCGCAGGAGCGGUGCCCUGCCUGGUGGCAGUGGCGAGGCACUUUCCGUCGUUUUGCAACAGUCGCCACGAGUGGGCUCUGCCUCCUACCUCACUCGGCUUGUUGGUAAGAGGGAAGGAACGGGUGAGUCGGUCUGACCCUGUGCCGUACAGGCUAGAUCUCGUCUCUAAACUGUAAUGGCGUCUGGUCUUGGGGGUGACCUAGACCAAUGGAAGUUGCAUUAACUUCAUAAAGUUUCAUCCUCAAAGAGAGUAACUACGGCAUGGCCAUUUCUUUCCCUAUUAGGUUAUGUCCACUGCUUCUUAAAAAAGAAAACAAAGGAAAAAAAAAAAGAGAAAAAAGCCACUCUGCAUUUACCGUGUCUAGUUGGUAUUUGCCCCAGAUCCCAGCCACGUGCUUCUCCUGCUCCUAUUAGAGUGCGCGGAGGGAGCGGGCCUGGGCUCAGAACUUUCCAGGCUGCCUUAGCCACGCCCACCGCUUCCGAAGGCGCGGCGCUCGCGGUCGUGAACCGCCUGCGCGGGCCGCAUUCCUUCACAGCUGCUGCCCCUUUCUGAACAAACAGCCAAGCUCGGGCUUGGAGGCGUUCUUAAAGGUCAGCUCUUCCUCCCUCAGAAGCUUGGCCUUCUCCCUACGCUUCACCAGUGGCGUCUUUUCACAAGUCGAACUUUUUUUUUCCGCCUGACAAAACGCCUGUCACCGCCCUGGGGCCAGGCUGAGUGUCCGCUGCCCACGAGGUAGGAAGUGUGGUCACACAGCUGCCCAAGGUAUGGACCCAUGAGCUAGUUGGCUGUAGAGUGCUCAAGCUUGGAAGAGGUCCGGCUCUGAGAUAAGGGAAAGAGACUAACUAUGAAGCCUAAGGAGGAAGCCAAAGAAGCAACCAGAAAUAAGAUUGUACGCGAAGAGACAGAAAGAGAUAUUUGGCAUUUUACAAGUGAAGCAUGGGAUGGCUGUACCAAUGGGUGGCUAAAGGCAAGUCAAGAAAUGAGUCUGAGCUUUGGCGGUGGAGGAAAUGUGUGUGGAAUCGUUACCCGUCCUGGAAACUCAGGCUGGCAUCUCUUGCCUCGGGGUGCAGACGGCUGCACUGA